AAACGCUUGAAGUCAGUCGCGUUAGCUAGGAAUCAGCCUUGCUUUUGCUUGGUGUACUUCCUGGUUGACGGGUCAGCAUCAAUUUUGACCGGUGGAAAAAGGCCAGUUGAAUG
rnacentral:rRNA from 1 species